AGCAGUGUUUUGGUAACUUGGUUUGUUGGUUCGUAAAGUAAAUGGAAGAAUGCAAUUAGAUCUUCUGUAUCUAUGAUCAUGUAUUUUCUGCAAUAUAAUCAUGUUUAACAUACUUUAUACUUAUACAAAAUUGAUAUGCUAAAAGUUUGUAUUAUAUAGAUUUCGAGAUAUUCGUUUUCAUGUUACUUUUUAUGUUGUGUCAUGUUUUUAUGCUGUGGUUUUGUUAUUUUUUCUGUGAUAUGCUCAUGCUAAUCAACUUAAAAAAUAUAUAUGCAGGGAUCCUAUUAACCCUGUUCUUGUUAAAUUAUAAAAAGAAUCUCUUUGUAAUUUGAUACCCGGUUAGAUAACUUGUUAUGGUCUGGCAAUAAAUAGGAAUUCUGUAUUUCAACAUCGCCUGUAGAUUGGAAUGUUGAGAACUGUGAUUUUCUAGUAUAGGUUUAUUCUACAAUUUGUUUUUUCUUACAUGAAUCAUAUUGAUGCUCUAUAAAGGUUAGUUAUGUUAUAUAUCUGCCUAUUUGCAAAUUUUAGUUAGGGUAAAUUAUAUCAUUAGUCAUUAAAUUUAAUUAAGUUUUCGUUUUGGUCACUUAACUAAAAAAAGUUAUAAUUUAGUUAUUGAACUAUUUGAAAGUUUUUAUUUAAGUCACUGAACUAUUCAAAAGUUUUUAUUUAAGUCGCUGAACUAUUAUCUUUUCUUUUUUAAAAGUUCUAUCAGUGAGCUCCAAGUGACGAUUCGACAAUCGGUACGGUAGAUCAGUACCUAUCGACAAGUAGGAUAACAUACCUUAGAUCCAAUUCAAUUUGAUGGUCAAUGUUAGAGAUUAGAGAAAAAAGUUGUUUGAUUUUUGGUUCAUAGAUCCGUGACGUCCAAAGCUGUUUAAUGAAAAAAAAAUUGAACUAUAAAAGAGAAGUGGAAAGAGGGUUUUUUAUUAGUGCAAGCAGUGUAAACAAAGAAAGCCACUGAGUAUCGAUUUUAAUAGCUCAGUGACUUAAAUGAAAACUUUUGAACAGUUCAAUGACUAAAUUGUAACUUUUUUUAGUUAAGUGAUCAAAACGAAAAUUUACUCAUAAUUUAGUGACUAAUGGUGUAGUUUACCCUUUUAGUUAUUCAAUUAGCGUCCAUUCUCUUUUUAAGGAUUUCAAGUCUACCUGUUUUCCUUGGUACGAAAUGAUUUCUUAUUUGAGCCUAAAUGAUACGGGGUUGCGCGCGGACCAAGAUCGAGUUGCCAAGUCACGAGGAACUCCUACGAAAACCCUAAACAAUUAGAUCUGAAACGAAACAGAAAAUUAAAAGAUUAGAUUUUUAAAUUUUCAGAUCUGAAAUAAAAUCACCAAAACAGUAAAGAAUCAAAUAGAGAAUAGAAAUAAGUGUUAAUAAGGAAUCUUGAAACCCUAGAAGAGAUUGCGAUUCUGCCCAAUUGAACACCUAGAUAGUUUUCCCCAAAUUUUGGCAAUCUAAUUUCUCCCAAAAAGAGUAUGGAUGAAUCGGCAAGAACCCUAGAAAUUGGGGAUUUUUGGGCUAAUUCCUUAAGAUAGAAAAAGGCUGAAAACACAAUAAGAACAGAAAAUAAAUUAGAUAAAGAUUCGGCACAAGCAGAAAUAAAGAAAGAAUUGACAGUAAGAAAUUAAAAGAUAAGUCCUAAGAAGCCUUGAAAUCCCGAAAGAUCUCACAACUCCCUUCAAACGGCUCUAAUCUCCCCUCCAAAGAAUAUCAAUGGCAAGAAGAAGGUUGAAGAUGGCUCCCACAAUCAAAAAGAUUGUUAAAACAACUUCUAAAGAAAACUCAAGAGAAAAUCCUUGAAGAACUCAAAGAGAAUUUUCACUCAAAUCAAAUCUGAAAUUUUCAAUGUAAUUGUAAUGUAGUGUAGGGUGGCUGGCCAAGCCAUAUAAAUAGGCAUUUCAAAUGUUUUCCUAAUUUAAUUAGAACACUAAAACUAAAACUAAAAAAAAAACUCCUAAUUAUUUUAAUAUGAAAAUUCGGCCAAGGGUCUUUUAUUUGGGACUCUUGGACUGAAUAUAAAUAAAUAAAUAAAUAAAAAUAAAACUUUACAACUUGGGCCACUUUGACAAUUUGGCCUGAUUUUUAACUAAGUAUGGGUGGAUUUCUUGAUUGGGCUUGGAAUCUUCUUAUUGGGCCUCGCCUUCAAGAAUUUGGGCUUUUGUGACUCGUAUCAUUCCCCCUUCUUCAAAAAGAUUCAUCCUCGAAUCUGAAAAAUCAAAUGAACUCGACUUUCCUCUAUCGAACGGGACUAAUGGCAAUUGAGUCCACUGAGAAGAAUAGCCAUGAGAUAGUAAAUAGCAACGGAAACAAGCUUGUAGUCCAAUCAUAAGCAUAACAGAACAGGUAUAACGCAUGUGAAUGGACUUAUCUUUUAAUUUCUUACUGUCAAUUCUUUCUUUAUUUCUGCUUGUGCCGAAUCUUUAUCUAAUUUAUUUUCUGUUCUUAUUGUGUUUUCAGCCUUUUUCUAUCUUAAGGAAUUAGCCCAAAAAGCCCCAAUUUCUAGGGUUCUUGCCGAUUCAUCCAUACUCUUUUUGGGAGAAAUUAGAUUGCCGAAAUUUGGGGAAAACUAUCUGGGUGUUCAAUUGGGCAGAAUCGCAAUCUCUUCUAGGGUUUCAAGAUUCCUUAUUAACACUUAUUUCUAUUCUCUAUUUAAUUCUUUACUGUUUUGGGGAUUUCGUUUCAGAUCUAAUUGUUUAGGGUUUUCGUAGGAGUUUCUCGUGACUUGGCAACUCGAUCUUGGUCCGCGCGCAACCCUGUAUCAUUUGGUAUCAGAUUUUGGGCGUUUUGGGUGUUCUUGGUUGAUUUCUAAACUGAUCUCUAUUUUUUAAAUUACAAAUAGCAGUUUUACCCAGAAAAAUUUUCGAAAAAAAUUCAUUUGAGUGGGUAAACGUUUUCUGAUUGAUCUGAAAUUUUACAUACAUAUUUUUGGCACUGUUAUUGAAUAUAAAAAAAUAUUUCCCGCAAAAAAAAUAAGUCGAAAAAGUCAAAAAAUUGAAAAAAGACGAAAUCCAAUAAAAAAUUAAAAAAAUAUUCAGCGGGUUGAAUUUGGUGCCCAAAUUUUCCAGAUCAAAAAUUCAAUAUUUGAAGACAUUCCAGAUUUAAUUUUGUGAUUUUUGGAGAUCGGGAAUACCUCUAACGAAGUUGUCAAGUUACUCCGCAGUUUUUCGGGUUUUCUGGUUUUAGCAAUUUUUAUUGAUUCUUAGCUGUAGGUUUUCAUUUGUUUACCUUUAUUCUUCCUUUACAUUAUCUAACACCUUCUUGUUUCUUGUGUUAGUAGGAUUUAAACGUGUGCACAACUUCUUCCUCGGUGCAACACGAAUCAAUUGGUGUCUCGUCAGUUUUUGGCAUCCUAGUGCAAAUUAGGAUUCUUUGGUAGUUUGGUUCACACUCUCUAAUUGGUUGAUAUAAACUCUGAUAAGGAACUCACAAGAUUGAAUUCGACCUCAUUGAGAAUUUGAUUUUUUCUUUUUGAGUGAUUAACGGUGAGGUUUGAUAACUUUUAUUUUUGAGUGUUGAGUGUUUUGCAGGUUUUAAAAAAAAAUGUCUACAGGUGAUAAUAAUGGUGACAUAUUUAAAAAAUUCCAACAACAAUUGGAUGAACAGGCUGCUGCUCUUCGAGCUUUGACUGCUACCAUCAAUGAGGUGCGAUUGAAUCAAGAACCUCAAUAUCGAUAUCCAAUCAAGGAAGAUAGGGAUAACCAGCCCCAUAGGCGCGACCCUUGACGUGUCCCUAGAAUGGAUGAUGAUUUUCAUGAUCGUGGGCAACCUUCUUUGGCAAAACCAAAGAGUGAGCAGCAACGAGAACAUCUCUUUCAUACUCGCUGCCAUGUACAAGGUAAGCUUUGUAGAGUUAUUAUUGAUGGUGAAAGUUGCACGAACGUAGCCAGCACGACGAUGGUGGAAAAGCUUUGCUUAACCACUACCAAGCAUCCACAACCUUAUCAACUACAAGAGCUUAGCAACGAAGGCCGAUUUAAGGUCACUCAACAAGUGCGCAUUGCCUUUUCUAUCGGUAAUUAUCAAGACGAAGUUGUGUGCGACGUAAUGCCUAUUCAAGCCUGCCAUUUUUUGCUAGGAGAACCAUGGCAACUGGAUCGAAAAGUCACUCACGAUGGUCGUACCAAUAGGUAUUCUUUCAAGUAUCAAGGAAGGAAAAUCACCUUAGUGCCGCUCACUCCGGAACAAGUCCAUGAGGACCAAAUCAAACUGAAAAAUUUUGUUGUUAAAACAAGUGAGGAAAAAGAAAAAGAGAAUGAAAAAGAGCAAAAAGAGAUUGAGAGUGAAAAGGAAUGUGAAACAAAAAAGAAAAUUGAAAAAGAAGUUGAAGAAAGAAGAGAAAAUGAGUUAGAAAAAGAAACAAAAGAAAAAGACGAGGAAAGGCUAGUGAGGAAUGUUUCCACUAACCAAGAUAUGAAUUUUUCUUGUGUUGCUACUUUUUAGGUUCCUGAAAGAUCGAAAGAUAACUUUCAACUUCAAUACCUCUCAAAUGAAAGACGCUUUCAUACGAUCAACUUAAGCAAAGAUGAAAUCACACUACAUGAUCCCGAAGGUAAGCGAGGUAAGGAAAUUUUAGAAACCGAGUCCAGUGCAGAUUUGAAAAUUAUUGAUAAAACUUUUGGUGACUUAGUUCUUAAAAGAUCCCCUCAUUUUGAUCCGAUUAAUUGUUACUCUUCGAUUGUGGUUGAUAAAGUCAUUGCGAAAAGAAGCGUGAUUUGUUAUUCUAUUGAUUUACCUUGUGUAAAAUCCUUGAAUUUGUCCAAAUCUGUUUUGGAGAAUAAGGUAACGAAAUUUUCCAAAUUUGUUUUCAAUUUAUAUUCGUGCCUUGAACAGUUUAUGUGGUUGUACAUGAAGUUUGAGUUCCAUUUGACAAACGUUAACUCAACAACGAAGAUUCGACUACACUAUGCCCCCAAUGAGCGAAGGUUUGUUUUAAAUGAAAAAGGUAAAAUCGACCCUUAUUCUUCUGCUUAUCGAGGUAAGAUGCUUGACACCUUUGAAACACUUUUGUACUCCUCGGAUAGUGAUAAAGAUCGUGUUGAUGAACACUUAGAUCGAAACGUGCUUGUCUGUCCUAUUUUAUUUAUUGAUGAUCUAUCUGUUUUGAUGGUUGAUAAAAAGAUUCUUGUUUUUGAUAAUGCAUGUGUGAGUGAAUCUAUAGACCGUCGAUUAAUGCAUGGUAUGAUUAUGCAACUCUGUGAACCAUGUGAAUCUUUUCAAAUACCUACUUGUGACGAUUAUGUUUACCAUUUGAUUUAUUACUCGCAAUUUAUUCAUGGUUUGUGGGAACAAUGUGAGACGACUGAAUGCCUUAAAACAUGUCCAUCUUUGUUUCAAAUAUUUGACGAGGCAGUGGUGAGUAAAUUAGAUUGUUUGCAUGGUAAUCUGAAUCUGUCCAUUCACAUGCGUUAUACAUGUUCUGUUAUGCUUAUGAUUGGACUACAAGCUUGUUUCCGUUGCUAUUUACUAUCUCAUGGCUAUUCUUCUCAGUGGACUCAAUUGCCAUUAGUCCCGUUCGAUAGAGGAAAGUCGAGUUCAUUUGAUUUUUCAGAUUCGAGGACGAAUCUUUUUGAGGAAGGGGGGAAUGAUACGAGUCACAAAAGCCCAAAUUCUUGAAGGCGAGGCCCAAUAAGAAGAUUCCAAGCCCAAUCAAGAAAUCCACCCAUACUUAGUUGAAAAUCAGGCCAAAUUGUCAAAAUGGCCCAAGUUGUAAAGUUUUAUUUUUAUUUAUUUAUUUAUUUAUAUUCAGUCCAAGAGUCCCAAAUAAAAGACCCUUGGCCGAAUUUUCAUAUUAAAAUAAUUAGGAGUUUUUUUUUAGUUUUAGUUUUAGUGUUCUAAUUAAAUUAGGAAAACAUUUGAAAGGCCUAUUUAUACGGCUUGGCCAGCCACCCUACACUACAUUACAAUUACAUUGAAAAUUUCAGAUUUGAUUUGAGUGAAAAUUCUCUUUGAGUUCUUCAAGGAUUUUCUCUUGAGUUUUCUUUAGAAGUUGUUUUAACAAUCUUUUUGAUUGUGGGAGCCAUCUUCAACCUUCUUCUUGCCAUUGAUAUUCUUUGGAGGGGAGAUUAGAGCCGUUUGAAGGGAGUUGUGAGAUCUUUCGGGAUUUCAAGGCUUCUUAGGACUUAUCUUUUAAUUUCUUACUGUCAAUUCUUUCUUUAUUUCUGCUUGUGCCGAAUCUUUAUCUAAUUUAUUUUCUGUUCUUAUUGUGUUUUCAGCCUUUUUCUAUCUUAAGGAAUUAGCCCAAAAAUCCCCAAUUUCUAGGGUUCUUGCCGAUUCAUCCAUACUCUUUUUGGGAGAAAUUAGAUUACCGAAAUUUGGGGAAAACUAUCUGGGUGUUCAAUUGGGCAGAAUCGCAAUCUCUUCUAGGGUUUCAAGAUUCCUUAUUAACACUUAUUUCUAUUCUCUAUUUGAUUCUUUACUGUUUUGGGGAUUUUAUUUCAGAUCUGAAAAUUUAAAAAUCUAAUCUUUUAAUUUUCUGUUUCGUUUCAGAUCUAAUUGUUUAGGGUUUUCGUAGGAGUUUCUCGUGACUUGGCAACUCGAUCUUGGUCCGCGCGCAACCCCGUAUCACUAAAUGACUUCUGUUUUCCUUUAAUGUGAAGCGUUUGUAUAUAGUGUAUCCUCCAGAGGGACCACGACCUCCAUCGCCGGAGGAAUUAAGGGAGAUGGCUCGGGAGCUAGC
rnacentral:lncRNA from 1 species